AUGCUGACUAAGCUCCAGAUCAAACAGAUGAUGGACGCAGCAAAAUGACAUAUGGAGGAGAGGAAAAAACAGCUACGCUUUAUUAGCCCCCCUACACCUCAGCCAAAGACGCCUUCUUCCUCCCAACCAGAGCGACUUCCAAUCGGCCACACUAUUCUGCCCUCCCAGGCUACCACUUUCAUGAAUGAUGCCAUUGAGAAGGCAAGGAAAGCAGCUGAACUACAAGCUCGAUUCCAAGCCCGGGUGGCAUUGAAGCCAGGACUCAUCAGCAAUGCCAACAUUCUGGGCCUGGCUAAUCUCCAUGCCAUGGGCAUUGCUCCCCCAAAGGUGGAGUUAAAAGACCAAAUUAAACCUACACCACUGAUCCUAGAUGAUCAAGGGUGCACUGUAGAUGCAACAUGCAAGGAGAUUGAGCUGACACACUGCAUGCCUACUCCUGCCAAUAUUCGUGCUGUGAAGAGGGAACCAUUCAAGCAACAGCUAAAAGAAAAAUCAUCAGAAGACAUGGAGUCCAAUAUCUUUUUUGACCCUGAGUCUCCACUGUCGCUUCCCGGCGCCAGAAACACACUUUUAAAUUCCAUGACAAGGGCAAAUUUGAGAAGAUUGCUCAGCAAUUAAGAACAAAGGCUCAACUGGAGAAGCUUCAGGGAGAGAUUUCACAAGCAGCUCAAAAAAUAGGCACCCAUACUUUGAUAGGCUUGCCUUCAUUGCUCCUAGGAAGGAGCUAAAGGAAGUAGAUAUCCCUGAAAUUGAGUGGUGGGACUCACAUAAUCCCCAAUGGCUUUGACCUUACAGAGGAAAAUCCCAAGAGAGAAGAUUAUUUUGGAAUCACAAAUCUUGUUGAACAUCCAGCCCAGCUCAAUCCUCCAGUCGACAAUGACACACCAGUUACUCUGGGAGUGUAUCUUACCAAGAAGGAACAGAAAAAACUUCAGAGACAGACAAGGAGGGAAGCACAGAAGGAACUACUAGAAAAAGUCAGGCUGGGCCUGAUGCCUCCUCCAGAACCCAAAGUGAGAAUUCUAAUUUGACGCAAGUAUUAGGAACAGAAGCUGUUCAAGACUACACGAAGGUAGAAGUCCAUGUCAGAGCUCAGAUGGCAAAAAGACAGAAAGUGCAUGAAGAGGUCAAUUCUGCCUGAAAACUCACAGCAGAAUAGAGAAAGGUCAAGAAAAUUUAAAAGCUUAAGACAUUUCACAGGGGUACACAUAUCUGUAUAUGGAGUUAGAAAUUUGAGCACCCCAGCCAAGAAGUUCAAGAUUGAGAUGGAGUUAGAAAUUUGAGCACCCCAGCCAAGAAGUUCAAGAUUGAGGCCACUGCUGGGCAACUGUACCUGACGGGGUGGUGGUACUGCACAAGGAUGUCAACGUGGUAGUAGUGGAAGGGGGCCCCAAGGCCCAGAAGAAAUGUAAGCAUCUUAAUGCUGCAUCGGAUAAAGUGGGAUGAAUGGACAUCUAACACAAAGGGAGAUGAUCAUGAGGAAUCUAAUGAGGAAGCUGUGAAGAAAACCAACAAAUGUAUACUAUUCUGGGAGGGUACAGCCAAAGACCGGAGCUUUGGAGAGAUGAAGUUUAAACAGUGUCCUACAGAGAACAUAGCUCGUGAGCAUUUCAGAAAGCAUGGGGCUGAACAUUACUGGAACCUUGCCCUAAGUGAAUCUGCGUACAGUCCACUAAUUGAGACUACUGCAAGCCCUUGCCUCUCCCCUCUUGCCUUUGUCUCUUCUGUCCUCUCAUUUAUU